CACGUAGGGCGCAAGCGUUGUCCGGAAUUAUUGGGCGUAAAGGGCGCGUAGGCGGCCCGGUAAGUCAAAGGUGAAAUCCCUCGGCUCAACUGAGGAACUGCCUUUGAAACUGCUGGGCUUGAGUCCGGGAGGGGGUAACGGAAUUCCCAGUGUAGCGGUGAAAUGCGUAGAUAUUGGGAGGAACACCGGUGGCGAAGGCGGCUACCUGGACCGGCACUGACGCUGAGGCGCGAAAGCGUGGGGAGCAAACAGG
rnacentral:rRNA from 1 species